rnacentral:rRNA from 1 species
UGGGGGUAUAUUGCGCAUGGGGGAAACCCUGACGCAGCGAUGCCGCGUGGGUGAAGAAGGCCUUAGGGUUGUAAAGCCCUUUCAGUGGGAACGAUAGUGACGGUACCCACAGAAGAAGCCCCGGCUAACUCCGUGCCAGCAGCCGCGGUAAUACGGAGGGGGCGAGCGUUGUUCGGAAUUAUUGGGCGUAAAGCGCGCGUAGGCGGUUUACUAAGUCAGGAGUGAAAGCCCAGGGCUCAACCCUGGAACUGCUCUUGAAACUGGUAGACUAGAGUCCGGCAGAGGGUGGUGGAAUUCCCCGUGUAGAGGUGAAAUUCGUAGAUAUGGGGAGGAAGACCAGAGGCGAAGGCGGCCACCUGGACCGGUACUGACGCUAAGGCGCGAGAGCGUGGGGAGCGAACAGGAUUAGAUACCCUGGUAGUCCACGCUGUAAACGAUGAGUGCUAGUUGUCGCGGGUAUCGACCCCUGCGGCAACGAAGUUAACACGUUAAGCACUCCGCCUGGGGAGUACGGCCGCAAGGCUAAAACUCAAA